AUGGAGGAAGUGUUACAGGAACUCAGGGACUUGAUCGCGCAGCUGAAAGCAGACAAUGAGAGGCUGCGUCAGGAGAGGGCUGUUGGGUCAGGUAUUAGUGCUACACCUUCUACUUCAACUGCAUCAUCUGUUAAUCCCCCAACUGCUACUGUCUCUGUAGCAGAGAGACUAGUUUUUGUGCCCCGUGACAGAAAAUGCCCUAUGUUUAGAGGAAAAUCAGGUAUAGGGUUGAAUGAAUGGUUGGAAGAAAUAGAAGCUUGUGCUAGGGUACGUCAUUUGUCUUUAGCUGAUAAAGCAUUUUUCCUGUUUGACCACCUGGAAGGGGAAGCACGUGAGGAGAUCAAAUAUCGCUCUAGUGCAGAGAGGACUGAUCCCGCUAAGAUAAUCACUAUAUUGCAAGAACUUUAUGGCUGUUCAGACUCCUAUGUAGCAUUGCAGGAAGCUUUCUUCUCUAGAAAACAGCAGGAAAGUGAGACACUGCAAGAGUUUUCCCUCGCUCUCUUGGGUCUUAUGGAAAAAGUUAAAUCGAGUGCCCCCAAUGGCAUGCCCAAUGCUGACGUUUUAUUAAGAGAUCAAUUUGUUGAACAGGUCUUAGACAGUACCUUGCGGCGGGAGUUAAAGCAGCUAGUAAGGAGGCAGCCAACACUGACAUUGCUAGAGAUUAGAGGGGAAGCUAUUAGGUGGGAACGUGAAGGGUUGCCUAGUGGCGUUAGACAUAGAAGCAGUUCUGUUCCUUCUGUCUAUGGCAUUCAGUAUGGGGUCCAUAGCGGUCCUUCAGGAAUAGCCCAGUCCACCCAUUUGUCUGAGAUGAGUGAGAUGAAGGAAUUGUUAAAGCGCCAACAGGAGCAACUUAAUCAGCUCACUCAGAGCAUUGCUCGAUUGCAGGGCCCCCAUCGAAUGUCUCGCUCAGGACGGAGCGAUUCCAUUAUAUGCAGACGUUGUCAGCAACCUGGACAUUUUGCUCGAGAGUGUGAUGGGGAACGUGUUCCUCGCUCCCGGCCUCCUUCGCAGGCCCCUCCGCAUAAUCGCAGGCACUCUCCUUUAAAUACAGCUUCGGAAAACUAG
rnacentral:lncRNA from 1 species